ACUCCUACGGGAGGCAGCAGUGGGGAAUAUUGCACAAUGGGCGCAAGCCUGAUGCAGCAACGCCGUGUGAGUGAAGUAAGGUUUUCGGAUACGUAAAACUCUGUCCUAAGGGAAGAAACAAUGACGGUACCUUAGGAGGAACGCCCCGGCUAACUACGUGCCAGCAGCCGCGGUAAUACGUAGGGGGCAAGCGUUAUCCGGAAUCACUGGGCGUAAAGGGUGCGUAGGCGGCUUAGCAAGCCAGGGGUGAAAGGCAUUGGCUCAACCAAUGUAAGCCUUUGGAACUGUUAAGCUUGAGUGCAGGAGAGGUAAGUGGAAUUCCUAGUGUAGAGGUGAAAUUCGUAGAUAUUAGGAGGAACACCAGUGGCGAAGGCGACUUUCUGGACUGUAACUGACGCUGAGGCACGAAAGCGUGGGGGAGCGAACAGGAUUAGAUACCCUGGUAGCACAGAG
rnacentral:rRNA from 1 species